CGACGGGUGGUUUGUCAGGAUCAAGGUCCUGUCAGAGCCGCGAGCGUCGAGGUUCCAGUCUUUGACUAGCUAUCUGUGCGCUGUGUCCAGUGUGAGUGUGAAUGAAUAUGAUUGUAACUAAAAUGGCCCAGUCUCCCCAAGGGGACGCUAACAGCUACAAACAGAAAUUGUGGAGUUUAGAAUCUUGAGACA